rnacentral:rRNA from 1 species
UACGUAGGGGGCAAGCGUUGUCCGGAAUCAUUGGGCGUAAAGAGCGCGUAGGCGGUCCAGUAAGUCCGCUCUGAAAGUCCGGGGCUCAACCCCGGGAGGCGGGCGGAUACUGCUGGGCUAGAGUCCGGAAGAGGCGAGUGGAAUUCCUGGUGUAGCGGUGAAAUGCGCAGAUAUCGGGAAGAACACCCGUGGCGAAGGCGGCUCUCUGGGACGGUACUGACGCUGAGACGCGAAAGCGUGGGGAGCGAACAGG